GACGUAGGGCGCGAGCGUUAUCCGGAAUUAUUGGGCGUAAAGAGCUCGUAGGCGGUUUGUCGCGUCUGCUGUGAAAACCGGAGGCUCAACCUCCGGCCUGCAGUGGGUACGGGCAAACUAGAGUGCGGUAGGGGAGAUUGGAAUUCCUGGUGUAGCGGUGGAAUGCGCAGAUAUCAGGAGGAACACCGGUGGCGAAGGCGGCAUCCUGGACUAACACUGACGCUGAGGAGCGAAAGCCAGGGGAGCAAACGGG
rnacentral:rRNA from 1 species